UACGGGGGGAGCAAGCGUUGUUCGGAUUUACUGGGCGUAAAGGGCGCGUAGGCGGCCACCGCAAGUCGAUUGUGAAAUCUCCGGGCUUAACCCGGAAAGGUCAACCGAUACUGCGGGGCUAGAGUGCAGAAGGGGCAACUGGAAUUCUCGGUGUAGCGGUGAAAUGCGUAGAUAUCGAGAGGAACACCUGCGGCGAAGGCGGGUUGCUGGGCUGACACUGACGCUGAGGAGCGAAAGCGUGGGGAGCGAACAGG
rnacentral:rRNA from 1 species